rnacentral:rRNA from 1 species
GAUCAUGGCUCAGGGAUGAACGCCAGCGGCAGGCUUAAUACAUGCAAGUCGUGGGGCAGCAGGUUUGUAGCAAUACAGAUGCUGGCGACCGGCAAACGGGUGCGGAACACGUACAGAACCUUCCUUGAGCGGGGAAUAGCCCAGAGAAAUUUGGAUUAAUACCCCAUAGUAUAAUGAAGUGGCAUCACUUUAUUAUUAAAGAUUUAUCACUCGAAGAUGGCUGUGCGGCUGAUUAGGUAGUUGGCGGGGUAAAGGCCCACCAAGCCUGCGAUCAGUAACUGGUGUGAGAGCACGACCAGUCACACGGGCACUGAGACACGGGCCCGACUCCUACGGGAGGCAGCAGUAAGGAAUAUUGGUCAAUGGAGGCAACUCUGAACCAGCCAUGCCGCGUGGAGGAUGAAGGUCCUCUGGAUUGUAAACUUCUUUUAUAUGGGACGAAAAAGGCUUUUCUAAGUCGUCUGACGGUACCAUAUGAAUAAGCACCGGCUAACUCCGUG